GGGGGGGGGGGGGGGGGGGGGGGGGGCGGGGGGGGGGGGGGGGGGGGGGGGGGGGGACUGGGGGUGGGGGGGCGGACGGGUGGGUAACGCGUAAAGAACUUGCCUCACAGCGAGGGACAACAGUGGGAAACGAAUGCUAAUACCUAAGAUUAUGAUAAUAGGGCAUCCUAUAAUUAUGAAAGCUAUCAGCGCUGUGAGAGAGCUUUGCGUCCCAUUAGCUAGUUGGAGAGGUACCGGCUCACCAAGGCGAGGAUGGGUAGCCGGCCUGAGAGGGUGAUCGGCCACAAGGGGACUGAGACACGGCCCUUACUCCUACGGGAGGCAGCAGUGGGGAAUAUUGGACAAUGGACCGAGAGUCUGAUCCAGCAAUUCUGUGUGCACGAUGAAGUUUUUCGGAAUGUAAAGUGCUUUCAGUUGGGAAGAAACAAAUGACGGUACCAACAGAAGAAGUGACGGCUAAAUACGUG
rnacentral:rRNA from 1 species